CGGUGCUCCGGAGAAGAGAUUGUGAGGGGUAUGGUGCUCACCCCGCGGGGAUCGCGAAGAGCAACUCUAUUGGAUCGUGCGUGUCAUUGAGCUACCUCACUUGUGGGUAGGUUCUUGCGGUGUCCUAGUGGAGACGAGGUUCGUGUAACACCUCUUAGCCGCCGAACCACCAAGUGUUUGUCGACACAAUGGGGACGUAGCUUGGUGGCAACCAAGUGAACCUCGGGA
rnacentral:lncRNA from 1 species